ACAGAAGUGACAGGUGGUGCAUGGUUGUCGUCAGCUCGUGUCGUGAGAUGUUGGGUUAAGUCCCGCAACGAGCGCAACCCUUGCCUUUAUUGCCAGCAUUAAGUUGGGCACUCUAGAGGGACUGCCAGGAUAACCUGGAGGAAGGUGGGGAUGACGUCAAAUCAUCAUGCCCCUUAUGCUUAGGGCUACACACGUGCUACAAUGGGUGGUACAGAGGGCAGCCAAGUCGUGAGGCCGAGCUAAUCCCUUAAAGCCAUUCUCAGUUCGGAUUGUAGGCUGAAACUCGCCUACAUGAAGCUGGAGUUACUAGUAAUCGCAGAUCAGAAUGCUGCGGUGAAUGCGUUCCCGGGUCUUGUACA
rnacentral:rRNA from 1 species